GGCCGCCUGGCGAAAUGGCAUCGCGUCUGACUACGACUUCCCUUGGGGUAAUCGCGAUCAGGCAAUUGUAGGUUCGACCCCUACGGUGGUCA